UACAGAGGGUGCGAGCGUUGUCCGGAAUCACUGGGCGUAAAGGGCGCGUAGGCGGUUCGAUAAGUCAGCUGUGAAAACCAUGGGCUUAACUCAUGGCCUGCAGUUGAGACUGUCGGGCUGGAGUGUGGGAGAGGAGAGUGGAAUUCCUGGUGUAGCGGUGAAAUGCGUAGAUAUCAGGAGGAACACCGGUGGCGAAGGCGGCUCUCUGGACCACAACUGACGCUGAGGCGCGAAAGCUAGGGGAGCAAACAGG
rnacentral:rRNA from 1 species